rnacentral:tRNA from 1 species
GGGCCCGUAGCCUAGGGGAUAGGGCAACAGCCUCCUAAGCUGUGGAUCGCGGGUUCGAAUCCCGCCGGGCCCG